AGGUUCCUCUGAAGCGAUUUCAUGUAGAUAUGUGAGUGUUUUAAACAAGUCUGAAAGUGUUACAUACUUUUAGGUUACAGGGGUGCUGGGGAGACAGCUGAGGAAAGGAAGAAUAUGUGGAAGACACCACGGAGUUCAAAGUUUUACCCUGAGUUCUAUCUUCCAUGUAUGUUUUGCUUAAGGCAUUUCUCAUGUGACAUUAGAAAAGCUAUAUCCAAAGGUAAAUUUUUUGUGGCAAAGAUUUAUUUUACACUUUAACUUUUGGGAUUUUAUUUGUUUCAGCAAAAUAAAGAGCACUGAACUUUAAACUUGAAUUUUUUCUGCACUUUUUUAGGUAAUGAAAA
rnacentral:lncRNA from 1 species